rnacentral:rRNA from 1 species
GUCAUCCUACGGGAGGCAGCAGUGGGGAAUAUUGCACAAUGGGCGAAAGCCUGAUGCAGCAACGCCGCGUGAAGGAAGAAGGUCUUCGGAUCGUAAACUUCUGUCCUUGGGGAAGAUAAUGACGGUACCCUUGGAGGAAGCCCCGGCUAACUACGUGCCAGCAGCCGCGGUAAUACGGAGGAUGCGAGCGUUAUCCGGAUUUAUUGGGUUUAAAGGGUGCGUAGGCGGGCUUUUAAGUCAGCGGUAAAAAUUCGGGGCUCAACCCCGUCCGGCCGUUGAAACUGGGGGCCUUGAGUGGGCGAGAA